UCACGUCACUUGUGUUCUACCAUCAGCCCAGCUUAUAGGAUAGUUCUUGACACUGAUAUUUUACAUUCUCAGCAAUUUGUAAAGACUGCGAUUCGGGCCAUAAGGAAGCGAUGGAGUCUGAAAGAGUGCGUCAUCAACAACAGCUACUCGGUGCAUGCAGUCCAUCUCCAUGUACAAUUGGGGAGGGCCAGGGAUUUGUUGAACUACACUAUUAAGGCAAAGAUUCCCAGCCAACUGCUACGGAGGAGGAUGAGUCUACAGAUUCUGAGUCAGGAAUCGUAAAAUCUAAGAUCCUUCGAGCCCUCGUUUCAUUGGAGUCGAGUGAUAGUGAUAGUUUCCCAGGUUCCCAUGAAAGAUUAUGCAUGCCAGCUGACAAG